rfam:Mesorhizobium sp. B7 plasmid unnamed1, complete sequence.
UGUCAAGAGUCUCGGCGUCGUUUCGGCGAGCAGGUUUCUUUUGCCCAACGACAGGUGAAGGAAAAUG